rnacentral:rRNA from 1 species
UACGGAGGGUGCAAGCGUUAAUCGGAAUUACUGGGCGUAAAGCGUACGUAGGCGGUUAUUUAAGUCAGAUGUGAAAGCCCCGGGCUUAACUUGGGAACUGCAUUUGAAACUGGGUAACUAGAGUUUAGUAGAGGGGAGUGGAAUUUCAGGUGUAGCGGUGAAAUGCGUAGAGAUCUGAAGGAACACCAGUGGCGAAGGCGACUCCCUGGACUAAAACUGACGCUGAGGUACGAAAGCGUGGGUAGCAAACAGGAUUAGAAACCCGGGUAGUCC